CUUUUUGCGGUCUGGGCUUUCUGUGUUUAUCCAAACUAUUCAGAAAGCCCUUACCCAAAAAGCGU
rnacentral:pre_miRNA from 1 species